rnacentral:rRNA from 1 species
AACGAACGCUGGCGGCAUGCCUAACACAUGCAAGUCGAACGAAGGCUUCGGCCUUAUUGGCGCACGGGUGCGUAACGCGUGGGAAUCUUCCCUUGGGUUCGGAAUAACGUCGGGAAACUGACGCUAAUACCGGAUGAUGACGUAAGUCCAAAGAUUUAUCGCACAAGGAUGAGCCCGCGUCGGAUUAGCUAGUUGGUGAUGUAAAAGCUCACCAAGGCGACGAUCCGUAGCUGGUCUGAGAGGAUGAUCAGCAGCACUUGGACUGAGACACGGCCCAGACUCCUACGGGAGGGAUCAGUGGGGGGUAUUAGCCAAUGGGCGAGAGCCUGGUACAGCAAUGCCGCGUAAGUGAUGAAGGCCUUAGGGUUGUAAAGCUGUUUUACACGGGAUGAUAAUGACCGUAACGGGAGAAUAAGCUCCGGCUAACUCCGUG